CCAGCCUGACAGGUGACCUUGACAGAAUUACAGCAGCCGUAUUUUCAGUUGGUUGAGCCAGUCGUGGCCAAUUUCUCUAGAGCGUUAGGUGCAAACAGAAGUCCGCGACUCCUCGUUGCACGCGCGCGUCCGCCCCUUCCCCUUCGCUGUUUAAAGUAUUUACCCUGUGGCUUGUACAAGCGACAUCUUUCUCUUCCCUGGUGAGCAUGAGCGUCUCCGGUCUUCCCUCCUCCCUCCGCUGGGAGGGCAGCGAAGCAACGCGGACAAGGAUCUUGUUCCAAGCCCAUUGAGCAGUGCUAGCGUGUAGUGACCUUCUGCACCAGUAAUUCCGUCUUUCGGGGAUUGAAAUUGAUUUUCCUCCUCUCUGUGUGUGAGCACAACCCGAGGGUACAGCUCCGUUCCGAAAGCUGAUCUCAGCAAUCAUUUUAUGCUAGCGGCUCAAGUUGGCGAGAGAUUAUUUGACACUAUAGUUCGGCCUCCUCUUCCUGAUGUUGCAGUAGCCAUUCUAUGAAGCCUAAGACGCGCUUCUCUCAUCUGACGUCAGUCCAGCCAAUCGUGACAGCUUGCUGCUUCUGUCCUCUGCAAAGUUCCCACACCCGUGCGUUUCUUUCACCCCCCACCACCACGAUCCUGUUCUGCGUUUUCCUCAUCCAUCACCUGGAUGAGUUUUGUUGUAAAAUAAAAGUCUAAUCUGUCUCCCUGU